CAGAGGUUGCACGCAGUAACUCGUAUAGAAGAACUAGAAGGCACUGUUAAGCAACUCUCCCUUAGGCCCUGGAGGCUGUUCAAGGCGUUGAAGCUCUUAGUGGACCUGGAGAAACAGCUGAGAUUCCUGCAGCACAUCGUCAGCACCACUUUGAGGCCAGAUAUACUUCCCGCUUGGGGGAGGCUCAUAAAAGGAAGAGGACCAAAUAUGAACAUCUGGUCAUUGGCUGUCGAGAGCAAAGCUGGAAGGCAAAGUGCAUGCCCAAUCGAAGUAGGCUGCAGAGGAUUUGUGGGGCAAUCACUCCACAGAGCCCACUGGGCAUCACAGGAGGAGCAAGGACCAGAGCCAUCAAGAACAUCACCCAGGCAGACAAGAAAGUGUCGAGAUGACUCUGGAUCCGGAGAGAAGAUCCAUGGGGACAAGCAAAGGCUACCUGAACACACACCACGGUGUGUGAUCAACCGUGGUGGGGUCGCCUGGAGGAGGGUGUAUGAUGUGAGACCCGAAAUACCCGAGGAUUCCGGUUACAUCACCGACGAUGUGUUCAGGUGCAUCUUCUGAUGCA